UUAAAGGUCCCGUAUUAUGCCCCUUUUCACAAGAUGUAAAAUCAAUCAUUUUUUUACAGCAUGUUUAAAUUGUCAUUUUUUGGGGCUCAGAAAAACGCGCUGUUUUAGCGUGUGCCCUUUAAAUGCAAAUAAGCUGCUGCUGCCGGCACAGGGGGCGGAGCUUAAUGAGCUCGCGCUCAGUCUCGCAGGACAAUUUCAUCUCACGGAAUGAUGAGAAUAUCAGAAACUCUCAGUAACGGUGUUCAUUUCGAGUCGGACAAUAAUGCCUAGAGUCAGAGUGCUGUAUAGAGAUGGAACAGGUAUAGUUUAGUAGUUUAAUUACGGUUAUUAUAACGGAUUUGUAAUCUGCUUGUAUGUAUCCAUUAUUUAUUAAUAGCCUACAAGUCUGCUGUUUCGGACCAGGUCCGAAUGAUGAUCAAACAUAUACUGAUGAGUUUAAUAAAGUUUAUUGUACAUCACACAAAAGAUGAAGCGUCAGUUUUACUUCAGAAAAUCACCGUAAGAGCUGAGUAAACACAGUAAGUUAUAAGAAGUGCGCAAG